rnacentral:tRNA from 1 species
GCGUCGGUGGUGCAAUGGCAAGCACGGCGGUCUCCAAAACCGUUGAUCCGGGUUCGAGUCCCAGCCGGCGUG